rnacentral:rRNA from 1 species
CCUACGGGAGUCAGCAGUGGGGAAUAUUGCACAAUGGGGGAAACCCUGAUGCAGCGACGCCGCGUGAGUGAAGAAGUAAUUCGUUACGUAAAGCUCUAUCAGCAGGGCAGAAAAUGACGGUACCUGCGUAAGAAGCCCCGGCUAACUCCGUGCCAGCAGCCGCGGUAAUACGUAGGGGACAAGCGUUAUCCGGAUUUACUGGGUGGAGAGGGAGCGUAGACGGGGCGCCAAGUCUGGAGUGAAAUGCCGCAGCUGAACUGCGGAACUGCUUUAGAAACUGGCGAACUAGAGUGCGGGAGGGGUAAGCGGAAUUGCUAGUGUAGCGGUGAAAUGCGUAGAUAUUAGGAGGAACACCGGUGGCGAAGGCGGCUUACUGGACCGUAACUGACGUUGAGGCUCGAAAGCGUGGGGAGCAAACAGGAGUAGAGACCCUAGUAGUC